rnacentral:ncRNA from 12 species
AUAUUUUGAAGUGGAGAACGUGCUGCCAUACACCUGCGUAUGCGGGUUAUAAAGAGAUGCGGGAGAAGGCACACCCGCCGAAAUAU